rnacentral:rRNA from 1 species
GUCGAACGGGGUCUUAGUACGGAAGUUUUCGGAUGGAAGGAUUAAGACUUAGUGCCUUACGGGUGAGUAACGCGUGGGUAACCUGCCCUGUACAGGGGGAUAACAGUUGGAAACGGCUGCUAAAACCGCAUAACAUGGAGAUACCGCAUGAUAUUUCCAUCAAAUAUUUAUAGGUACAGGAUGGGCUCGCGUCUGAUUAGCCAGUUGGCAGGGUAAUGGCCUACCAAAGCGACGAUCAGUAGCCGGCUUGAGAGAGUGACCGGCCACAUUGGGACUGAGACACGGCCCAAACUCCUACGGGAGGCAGCAGUGGGGGAUAUUGCACAAUGAGGGAAACCCUGAUGCAGCGACGCCGCGUGAGUGAAGAAGUAUUUCGGUAUGUAAAGCUCUAUCGGCAGGGAAGAAAAAAAUGACAGUACCUGACUAAGAAGCCCCGGCUAACUACGUGCCAGCAGCCGCGGUAAUACGUAGGGGGCAAGCGUUAUCCGGAUUUACUGGGUGUAAAGGGAGCGUAGGCGGCCAUGCAAGUCAGAAGUGAAAUCCCGGGGCUUAACCCCGGAACUGCUUUGGAAACUGUGCGGCUGGAGUGCAGGAGGGGUAAGCGGAAUUCCUAGUGUAGCGGUGAAAUGCGUAGAUAUUAGGAGGAACACCGGUGGCGAAGGCGGCUUACUGGACUGUAACUGACGUUGAGGCUCGAAAGCGUGGGGAGCAAACAGGAUUAGAUACCCUGGUAGUCCACGCCGUANACGAUGAUUACUAGGUGUCGGGGG